AGAAAUGGUGUGGAGAGAAGCCAUGGUUGGCCACUGAGUUGAGGUUGGGAGUAGAUGAGAUGAGUUGACCGAGUUAUAAAUGCAACUACGUUCGUUUCUCCAAGUUUGAGUUUGUGGGCGAAGCGAGAUCAUAUUGGUUGGUUCAUGAUCUGCUCGGCUACUGAGCAUGCUAAAAAUUUGGAUUCCUUUUCUUUUUAAAUGACGAGUGGUCAAGAUGAUGUCUUGAGGUGGGUUUUUAUGUCGAUGGUGAUUGGUUGCGGACAUAGUGGCGUAUUGCUGUGAGAUAUAACGCAGAGGAUCCUUUUUCAGUUUUCAGAGAGAUGAAUGCAGUCCACAU
rnacentral:misc_RNA from 1 species